AGGGAUUUGGCGUUCGCUACAGCCGAGCACCAGGUACUGCCACGCUACGACUCAGCUCCUCGCCGACCGGAGCGAGGUGCCGUCGCGGUCCGAUGCCGAGCGCCGCCGCGAGCACCAGGCCGCCGCGCUCGGGGCGACGCUGCCCGCACCAUCCCUGCGAUGCGCCCACCUCCAACCCGGCGGCGAUGGCGAUGUCCGCGAGGCCCUGGGCGCGAGGGAGGCGAUGGCGAUCAGCUGAAGCGGCGGCGCCGUCAUCCUACACCGGGAGGCGGGGCCUGGUGGUGCACGAGGCUGCGGGACGCGGAAGGGGGAGAAGCAAUGGAGGUACUGUUCGAGGAGGCGGGGCGCGGAGGGAGAGAGCAGUGGAGGUGCUGACGCUGACGCCGCGGCGCUUCAUGGAGGUCAACUAGGAGGUGGACGAGGCCUUGCAGCUCGCAGCCGACCUGCUCGCCGAUGCGCCAAUAGGGAUCUGCUCGCCGGCGGGGACGCCGUUUUCUUCUAGUGAUGUGCGGAUGGUGAACUGCUCGCCGGGAUUCACCCCGAGCCCAGGUAUUCCGCCGCCUCCUAGUAGCCGCCCGAGCUGUGCUCAUGUGCCUUGCCGUUAGCUGAGCUCUCCUACUGCUACUGACCUGGGACGAGCACAACAGCAGAGCACAUGCGUGCAGAUUUAGUUAGAACAGGAAGUUUCGUCACAAAGAAUGGUUCAGGUUCAGCUUAAUGUACACUGAAACUUUGCACUUUUGUUGUACAGGGAGUGGGAGUAUUCGGGGAUAGGAUAUGUGCAUCGAGCAGAGGGGGCCGGUGUUCACUUCAGGUUUCUUGCCUCAGUCAGAUCAAUUCUGGAGUCCUUGAUCUCCCCGUCCUUCAUCAACAGCUUUACGUGGGAAGGUAUUGGAUAUUACUAAAAGUUUAGGAGAGCAAAUGUAUGAUAGACAAAUAUGCAAAAUAAGAAUGAACUCUUUUUUAGUUGUUCGGUAGCACAUCAUACACUGAUUGCACUGAAACAGGAAUUGCUAGACUAUUGAUGGAGAAGAUCAUGUGUCCCCUUUUUUUAUGUUGUCUAGCAGUGACUUGGGAAUUUGUUUAGCAGUGACAUGCCAAUUUGUUUGACUUUAGAUUUCUGGUUCACAUGGGUACACAUUGGGUACAUCUUGACAAUAUUUUUUCUGGAAUAGUUUCUUUUGAGCAUGGCAAAUUGUGUAGAACAUGAUAUUUAGUACAAUAUGGCAAAUUGGCAACUAGUGUCUAGUGUUUAGCACUGUUUAGUGUUGUUUGUCCUCGUGCGAGAAUUAUAUUGUCAGGACCCUGACUCAAUGCCACAUCGAUCUAGCAUGUAACACCUCAUAUCACUUUGCGGCCUCACGCACGGUAUUCCCACGGGUGUCGCCUUACCUUUGCCCGGGACCGUUUGCGCCUUUUGGCACACGUAUAUGAUAGUGUCGCUAGCAUCCAUAUGAUAAGGAGCCCGGGCUGACAUGGCUAGUCGUAAACCCAAAGUGGCACAAACUUACAGGGACAGGCAUCCAUGACUCAGCAUCGAACGUGUCGGUCAUCAGCGAGUGAAUCCAGGCUGUAGCACUGGGCUAGCAGGACUCCGGUGAACCGGGCUGUAGCGGGCUAAUAGGACUCCGGUAUUCAUCGCGUGACAUUUCCCCGAGGGGACAGACACAGGAACGAAGAAGGACACAUGCCGGCCAGCCUAAGUGUUGCGGAGCAGUAGCAAGCUACCAUGGCUCGGUGGAAACACUAGGAGACAUUUCCCGGUAAGAGGGCUACUAAGGAUAAACAACUAGAUAGUCAGAUCCCACACAUACCAAGCAUUUCAAUAACAUACACACAAUAUGCCCGAUAUGUGCAAAUACAACAUGGCAUCACAACAUGACUCUACGACUCAAGUAUUUAUUCAUUAGGCUCCGAGGAGCGAGAUAUUACAAACAUAGGUCUUAUGACCCAACAUUCAGAGCAUACAAGUCAAAACACAAGCGGAAGCUAUCAUGUCUGAGUACAGACAUCUAUAAAUGAAAAAGGCUGAAAGCCUGACUAUCUACUAGAUCCUGCCGAGGGCACAAGAUCGUAGCUGAGGUAACAAGCUAAACGUCGAAGUCCACGCGGAAUUACUAGUGAGACUGAAGUCUCUGCAAAAACAUAAAAUAGGCAAACGUGAGUACAAAUGUACCUAGCAAGACUUACAUCAGAACUAACUACAUAUGCAUCAUUAUCAACAAGGGGAUGGUGGGGUUUAACUGCAGUAAGCCAGCUUUGACUCGGUGGCUAUCCUGAACUAUGACUGCAAGUAACUCUUUAGAGGUGGCGCACACGAGUCCACAUAUUCACCAUAUCAAUACACCACUAUGGAUCCGCUCCCGUCUCCCUACGAGAACGCCAUCCAUAGCACUCACGCUUAUCUUGCGUAUUUUAGGGUAUCCACUUUCACUUGCCUAUGAACUGAUAUAAGCAACCCAGAAGUCCUUUACCGCGGACACGACUAUUCGAAUAGAUGAUGUUAACCCUGCAGGGGUGUACUUCUUCAUACAUGUUUCCACCACUUAGCGUCUGCACACGACAUGUGCUCGGCAGACUUCAAGCGAAAGCCGACGUGGGUGUAGACCACGACCUACCUAAACACUCAAGUCUCUAGUCCAGGUUUAUCGCCUAUUCGGGUUCCAUCCAUGAGGAGAUCCGGCCGGGGUUUCGCUCACAGCCCCAAACGAUGUGAACAGGGUUCUGUGACACCAAACGGGCGCCCGGUAUACCCGGCCACGGUGUAUCUACCGCAUCACAGCCCACCCCUCGGGUCAGCGCUGCCCACGGCCUCCAACACAUAUCCUACAAACACCAGAAACUAGUUGCAACUCCUGGACAGAGGACAAGGGUGAAUAAGAAGUCGAGCGGGGUCAUAUUUCAGGGCCCAAUGUAUGGUAGUAGCUGAAUCAUGGAUCACAAACACAGAACUCAGUUCCUAAGGACGGCUUCAAUGAGACAACCCACCAUGUACUCCUACAUGGCCUCUCACCGCUACCUUUACCAAAUCGUGUUCACCACUUAGCUCACACACAGUAGGACAUGUUCACACACCUCUGAUUCAUCCCCGAUGAAUCAGACCUGACUCAACUCUAAGCAAUAGCAGGCAUGACAAACAAACAUGAAUGAGUAGGCACCACAUGGCUCAAACAACUCCUACUCAUACUAGUGGGUUUCAUCUAUUUACUGUGGCAAUGAAAGGUCAUGCAGAGGAUAAAGGGGUUUAGCUAUCGCAGCAAGUAACAGAUGAAUCGUUGUUGUCCUAAUGUAGUAAAAGAGAGCAGGAGCGAGAGAGUGGGAUUGUAUCGGAAUGAACAAGGGGGUUUUGCUUGCCUGGCACUUCUGAAGAUAACAUCGAGUCUUCAUCAGUGUCAACGAUCACAUCGUCGGUACAACGUCUACCGAGGGGGAACAACACCGGCAAACACAGAAGAAACACGAUCAAUGCAAUGCACAAUAUGAUGCAUGCUAUGACAUGGCAAUAUGAAUGUGUUUUGGGCUAAUGCACCUAGCUAUGAUUUAAAUGAAGUUGGUUUGAUUACAUGAUUCAAAUUCCAACUCCAUAUAUGAUUAUUUAAAUGCCCUGUAUUUGUUUUGUCCAAAACAGAGGACAAACAUUGUUCAAACAUGGAUGAAAAUGGUACAGAUGGAUUCCUUAAAUUUUUCUGAUAAUUUUUCAUAUAUAAUUUGUUUGAUUUGGAGUCACGGUUGAAUUACUAUGACUUUUAGAAGUUUUAGCUAUUUUCUGAAAUAAAUAAAUCGUUUAGAUUUAUUUAAAAAUCCAGAAAAGGGUUUACUGCGUCAGCAUGACGUUGGCAUGACGUCAGCAGGUCAACAGGGGCUGGUCCGGGUCAAACCUGACCAGCGGGGUCCACUAGUCAGUGGCAUAACUAAUUAACCAAGUUAAUUAGCCUUAAGUUAAUUCUAACUAAAUUGUUUGUGGGGCCGGGGCCCACUAGUCAGCGACUAAUCAGCUAACUGACCUAGGUUAAUUAGUGUUAAACUAAUACUAACUAAAAAUGUCAGGGGGUGGCCCACACGUCAGUGACACACGGGGAAGGUCAAACCAUGGCCAAACUCGGGUCAACUCGCCGGAGUUGACCCGCGGCUCGUCGCCGGCAGAGCCAGAGACGGCGGAGGGGUGCGGGUUUUGUCCUUCGACGACCAAAUUAGCGGCCGAGACCACCCAUAGAGAGCUGGCACUCUCGCGCAUCCAUUGAAGCAAGCGAGAGAGGCUGCAGUGGAGUGAGCUCGCUGGAGUCGAGCUCGUGGCGGCGGCCGGAGUACGGGCGAGGUCCGGGUUGGCGCUAGGGGGCACGGGAGGGGGAGCUGGUGUGUGUGUUAGGCUCCUGGUGAGGUGUGGAGCACGUUGCCGUGCUCCGGGAGUUAGCUAUGGUGGCUCUGGCCUCGUCUGCGUCAUCGCCGGCGGCGAGGAGCUCACGGCCCCCGGUGAAAAGGGCGGCUAGAGUGCAGGAACGAGCGCGGGGAGGAGGGGGAAUGGAAGAGGAGCUCACAGCGGAUCCGAUAGAAGCAACGGCGAGGCCGGGGAGGGGCUGGAGCUCGCGAAUCCCCGAAAGUUCGCCGGCGGCCGAAGGUUGGGGACGAGCUCUGGGAAGACGCUACAGGGCUCCCGCAGUCGAAUGGGUUGGUGUAGAAGACACAGAAGGCGAUGGCGGUUCCUCUGGACUCAUCGGAGAGGCACGAGGUGGACGGUGGCCGCGGUGGUGCUCGUCGGCGGCGGCGGGUGUGUUCGGUGGUUGCGUGCGAGAGAGCCAGAGGAGGAGAGGAGCUCGGGGAGAGAGUGAGAGGCCCGGGGGGCGCGUGGAGCUGCGGGAGACGCCCAGGGAGAGGAGGAGGCAGCCAGGCAGGGUGGUGGCGUGGCGAGCUCGGCGGCGUCGCGGUGUCCCUCCUCUGCCUACUGGCACGAGGAGGAAGGCGACAGGGAGGAGGUGGUGGUGGGCUAGGCCGGCCAGCUGCAGUGUUGGGCCGGUUGGUGGCGCCAGGUAAGUGCCCCAGGUAGGCUCUCUCUCUCUCUGGUUUUUCUAUUUAUUAAUGUUUUCUAUUUUUUGUAAUUGGUUUUGAUUUGAUUUAAAACAUCAAAUCAUUUUUUUAACUUUUUGUAAAUUGUAUGUGAGCUCAGGAACUAGUCCAAGGUCACAGGAAACUUACAAAAAUAUUUGAACUUUAUUUCUUAUAUAAUAGAAAUAAAUUCAACUCAAAUAUGUCGUUGGUUUAAGUCAAAGGCCCAAAAUAAAUAUUUCUGUGAUACCAAAAAUAUUGGUUUGAAUUUUACCUCAUGCCAAUAUUUUUGCAGAAUAACAUGAACAUUUUCUUCGACUCAUUUGAUGAGAUUUAAAUGUUGGUUAUUUUUAGAGGACUUCUGAGGUUUUUGAAAAUUCCUCAAUUCAAAUUUCAUUUGAAUUUAAACAUAAUGCACACAUGGAAGCUGGCAUAGGUCAGACCAGAAUUAGGGAUGUGACAUAUAUUCAGUAAUUUGCCAUGGCAUUUGUCCUCCUGUAUUUAGUCUGUAGUGCAAAUUUUGUAAACUUGCCAUGUGAUCAGUACAUACAAACUCUAGCUUUGAAAUGAAUCAUGAAUCGAAUUUUCUCUAGAUUUUGCCAUGAAUCAAAAGUAUAUAUUGUUGAACACUGUUUUGCCAUGGCAAAAAGGAUUUUAUAGCUUUUGGCAUGCCUCUAAUAUAGCUUUUUCCAUGUCACCACUAUAACUUUUGGCAUGACAUACACAUAUUUUUUUUACCAAGGCAAAUUUGCUAAUCUGUUUGCCAUGCCUCUAAUAUAGUUUUCGCCAUGUCACCACUACAACUUUGGCCAUGUUCACAUGGAGUAGUAAAAAAACAAAUUUGAGUUGAUUGUAGAAAUAUGUGUUUGUUUCCCUUUUUUUGACUUUGUAGGAUUGAUGAUGACCACAUUAAGCAUUGCAACUUUUAAGAGAUUUGAUUUUGCUUUUGUACUUACUACUGCAAAUCCACCCAGGUAAGUUUGCCAUGUCAAUUAACAUGCAGUAUGUUUGUGCCAUGGCAAAUUUGCAUUCUUUUUCAUUUCAUUUACACGGCAAGUCUUCAAAACAUUUUAGUAUUCCCUCCAUCUCGAAAUAUAUCUACAACCUAGAAAAUUACCUAAAAACUAAUUACUUUUUUUAAACAGAAAGAGUUACUUUCGCGCCACCUAAUUUAGGUGUACAGUUGUUUGCGCCAAUACUUUUUAACCUCCCGCUAAAAGGUCCCAAAUUAGCGUCUUUGUUCCCACCAGAAAAUUAGCUUCCCGCUAAAUACCUUCCUAACAACCCACGAAUAUAUAAUUCUAGACCAAACGACGGCGUCUUCACGGGCGAUUGGAUCUGAGCUCUCGUCUCGGUUCAUCUCUGCUGCCGGCGUCAUGACGGCGUCAACAGAGCGAACCACAUCAGGUGCACAGCGUCAGGUUAGUCCUCCUCCCGAUCUCCUUCAUCGCUGAAAAAUCCAGUCCUCCUCGAUCUCCCCCUCCCCCCUCUCCUCUGCGUCCGCCUCCGUCCGGGAUCAAACCCCCCUCCCCCACGAGCUCCUCAUCGAUGCGCGGCUCUCUCAAUCCUGAUCCAUUCAGAGGGGCUGCCCCUUCUCUCCUCCGCUCGCCGCUUGGCCGUAGAAAAGAAGUCAGGGCAAUGGACAUGCCGCCGCCGGUGGCAUUUUCCCAUCGCGCCUCGAUUUGGCCGCCUCGGCUGAGGCGCUCGUGGCCUGGAGGGUCGGCGCAGCGCCUCACCUUGGCCUGGAGGCUGGCCUCCAUGGAGCUCGCCUCGGCCUUGAACUGGGGCUCAACGGGGCCUCCCGGCCCGGUUCAUGGCCGCAGCCGUCUCGGCUGUGCACGCCGGCAUCGUGACAUGGUGGCCAGGCGCUGGUAAUUGCCGCACCCGACCCCAGCAUACCCGAGGUGCCUGCAGGCCUCUCCACCAUCUCUGCUCCUGGUUCUGUUUCCUCGUGGACGCCAAAGGGGGUCGUGAGCAUUAGAUUGGUUUUUGAGCAUUAGAUCCAUUAACUGAAAGAUAUAGACAUACUCUGUAAUCUGUAUGUGCAAAGCUAGCUAGCUUGCAUUUUUAUUAGUUAAGUGCCGGCUUUCUGAGUUCAAUCCCCCAACUAAUAAUGGUGCCAAAUACCAGGUUUUUUUCUACAUACAUGGAUGCUUUCAUGAUCCACUUUACAUUUGUUUCCCCCUGGGUUCAGUCUGAAUCUUUACAUUACACUUAGAAUCCUACCAUCACCGUCACUGUCACUCUGCAUACAACAUUAAUUCUUAUAUCUAAAUCAGGUUGAUUAGCUUUUGAUGUAAUAUUAUCCGUCUUGCCUAAAAUAAAUCCACAUUCUUACACUCUGGUUUCUUCUUAUACAUCCUACAGUCACUUUCUUAUAAAUAUUUUUUAGCAAUUAGCGUAGAUCGAGAUGAGUUUCUUUCAACACAUUUUAAGACAUAAUGUCAUAUAUUAGAUGUUAUAUGUGCGUCAACAGAGCAGAGGAUUUAGGUUUAGUCAUCAUCUGCAUUGCAUUUGAUUCAGAUUACUAUAAGCUGAUUUUUAAUAGAUAUUUGGUCUUACACGAGUCACAUUGCAUUUUUUUCCUAUAGAUUCAGAGUAGUGUUUUCAUGAACCUAUCACUGAUACUUUGCCUUUCAUGUUCAUUCACAUAUGUCUGGUUUACCCACACAAGGGCACUGUCACAUCCCUAGCUUCUGGCAUUGCUCUAGCCUAGCUUCAUGUGUGCAUCAUGUCUAUAUUUUUGAAACUUGAAUUGAGGAAUAUUGGAAGCCUCAAAACCCUAAAUAAAAGAGGGGCAAAAACCCUAGAAAUCUCAUUCAUUGCUCCAAAAGGCUCUUCUUAAAUGUUUGAUAAUUUUUGGUAAGGGUUCUGGUCCCAACCAAAAUAUUGAACAUUUUUAAGGAUUUAUUUUUGGGACUUUGAAUUUAAAUCAUUAGCUAUUUGAAUUUGAAUUAUAUUCAUAUAAUUAGAAUAUAAUUUCAAAUACCCCUGAAAUAUUUUAUGAGCUUUUGGAAAAGUCCAUCUAGCAACAUAAAUUAUUCAGAGGAUAUUUGGCACUGUUUUGAAUUUGUUUAAAUUUGAAAACAGUGGCAAAGAAAAAAAAAAGAAAA
rnacentral:lncRNA from 1 species